GCGGUGCGGUCGCGGGGAUGCGCCGAAAGGUUCUCCCUGAGGAAAGUCCGAGCUCCCAUGGGCAGGAUAACGGAUAACGUCCGCCGGAGGCAACUCCCGGGAAAGUGCAACAGAAAAGAACAUCCGAACAAUCGGUUAAGGUGAAAAGGUGAGGUAAGAGCUCACCGGGACGGCGGUAACGCCGCCCGUCAGUGUAAACCCUAUCCGGAGCAAUACCGCAUAUAAGACAUAUACGCCGCCCAUCGUGUCUUGAAGGUAGCUGGAGGCGCGCGGUAACGCGCGUUCGAGAUAGAUGAUCGCAGCGGAGGAUAAUCUCCGAACAGAACUCGGCUUAUACGCUUGC
rnacentral:RNase_P_RNA from 1 species